AGAGUUUGAUCCUGGCUCAGGACGAACGCUGGCGGCGUGGAUUAGGCAUGCAAGUCGAACGGUAGAAUGCCUUCGGGCAUUUGAGAGUGGCGAACGGGUUAGGAACGCGUAGGUUAUCUACCCUCAAGCGGGGGACAACCCAGGGAAACCUGGGCUGAUACCGCAUGUGCACAGCAAUGUGUAAAGGUGGCCAGUAAUGGCUGUCGUUUGAGGAUGAGCCUGCGUCCUAUUAGCUUGAUGGUGAGGUAAAGGCUUACCAUGGCGAUGAUAGGUAGGCGGCCUUAACGGGUGGUCGCCAACACUGGGAUUGAGAUACGGCCCAGACUCCUACGGGAGGCAGCAGUCGAGAAUAGUCUACAAUGGACGAAAGUCUGAUAGUGCGACGCCGCGUGAACGAAGAAACCUUUCGGGGUGUAAAGUUCUUUUCUGUGCGAGCAGUGGUGGGCAGAGUAAUAUGCUGUUCAUUUGGAUAUUAGUACAGGAAUAAGCCACGGCUAACUCCGUGCCAGCAGCCGCGGUAACACGGGGGUGGCAAGCGUUGUCCGGAAUUACUAGGCGUAAAGGGCAGGUAGGCGGAUCUAUAAGUCGAACGUUUAAGCCUCGGUCUUAAGCUGAGAGAUGCGUUCGAUACUGCAGAUCUAGAAUACGGUGGGGGAAGACGGAAUUCCAGGUGUAGCGGUGGAAUGCGCAGAUAUCUGGAGGAACACCGAAGGCGAAGGCAGUCUUCUAUACCGCAAUUGACGCUAAACUGCGAAGGUGUGGGGAUCAAACAGGAUUAGAUACCCUGGUAGUCCGCACAGUAAACGAUAGACACUAGGUGUUGGGGGAGAUGAAUCCUUCAGUGCCGCAGCUAACGCGUUAAGUGUCUCGCCUGGGGAGUACGAUCGCAAGGUUGAAACUCAAAGGAAUUGACGGGGGCCCGCACAAGCGGUGGAGCAUGUGGUUUAAUUCGAUGCAACGCGAAGAACCUUACCUGGGCUUGACAUCCCCGGAAUCCUGCAGAGAUGCGGGAGUGCCCUUCGGGGAACCGGGAGACAGGUGCUGCAUGGCUGUCGUCAGCUCGUGUCGUGAGAUGUUGGGUUAAGUCCCGCAACGAGCGCAACCCCUAUACUUAGUUGCCAGCACGUCAUGGUGGGAACUCUAAGUAGACUGCCGCAGUAAUAAUGUGGAGGAAGGUGGGGACGACGUCAAGUCAUCAUGGUCCUUAUGUCCAGGGCUACACACGUGCUACAAUGGUCGGUACAGAGGGAAGCGAAUCCGCGAGGUGGAGCAAAUCCCAGAAAACCGAUCACAGUUCGGAUUGAGGUCUGCAACUCGGCCUCAUGAAGUCGGAAUCGCUAGUAAUCGCGCAUCAGCAUGGCGCGGUGAAUACGUUCCCGGGCCUUGUACACACCGCCCGUCAAGUCAGCCGAGUUGAGUGCACCCGAAGUAGGUGAGCUAACCAGCAAUGGGAGCAGCUUUCGAAGGUGUGCUCAGUGAGGAGGACUAAGUCGGAACAAGGUA
rnacentral:rRNA from 1 species